GCCGUCUUAGCUCAGUUGGCUAGAGCGCAGCUUUCGUAAAGCUGAGGUCCGGGGUUCGAAUCCCCGAGACGGCUCCA
rnacentral:tRNA from 1 species